CAAGACUGACUGACAAAUGAAAGGGGAUGAGAUGGUUGGAUGGCAUCACCGACUCAGUUUACAUGGGUUUAAGCAAACUCCGCAAGGUGGUGAUGGACAGUGAAGCCUGGCAUGCUGCAGUCCAUGGGGUCACAAAGAGUUGGACAUGACUGAGUGAUUGA